UACGAAGGGGGCUAGCGUUGCUCGGAAUCACUGGGCGUAAAGGGUGCGUAGGCGGGUCUUUAAGUCAGGGGUGAAAUCCUGGAGCUCAACUCCAGAACUGCCUUUGAUACUGAAGAUCUUGAGUUCGGGAGAGGUGAGUGGAACUGCGAGUGUAGAGGUGAAAUUCGUAGAUAUUCGCAAGAACACCAGUGGCGAAGGCGGCUCACUGGCCCGAUACUGACGCUGAGGCACGCAAGCGUGGGGAGCAAACAGG
rnacentral:rRNA from 1 species